AUGUGGGACAACAGGCUUGGGGCUGAGACUAUGAAACCCUCCUUGCCUGCCUGCACUCGGGGACGAGGGGCAAAAACCGCACCGCGCCAGGCACCGCGGAGGACAACAAUUAGAUGUGGGGAGGAACAAAUUCUUCACCUACAAUGAUUUUUCUAUUUUAACUAGACUUUUAGAUGUAAUUUAUUAAAUUUUACUCAAAAAAAUAGAAGAGUAUUUGAACACACGCGUGAACGCGUGCUCAAAUGUUGGUACUAUCUGUAAGAGGAUUCCUUUAUUUGGACUAGACUUUUAUGCGCUUCAGAAAUAUCUCUAAACUUUACGUUUAAUAGGGAAAAAAAACUUGAGGACAGCUCGAUAAAAAUAUAUUUCAAAUUUUAUUUAAAAUGCUUACAAAAUAGGACACUCUUCUACUAAUCCAUAUCUUCAAAACAAACUUAUCCAAAAAAAAAAUUAUGACAAAAAAAGUGUCAUGGCACGCGCAAAACAUGUGUGAUGAGGCUAGUUUAAUUAUAGUCUCAAAAACUGAAUCAGGUAGAGAGUUAGAAAUGAGACUAAUUUAUGGUAUUUUGAUUUGAUCAGGAUCGGACCAAUAGUCAGUUAUUGUGCCAAGAAAUUUAUUGUGCAUUCAGGAAAAACUUUAUUAGCUAGGUUUCAAGAAAUUCAAAAUUCUACAAACAACAAUUAUAUUUCAAGAAUUCAAGAAUUAUUUUUAUUUAAUAUGUGCAUCGCACAUACACAAUACCAGUCUAAUUUAAAAAUCUAUAAAUUGUCAUGCCCUCAAAUAAGAGACUUAAUUUCAAGUUUGACUUACAUAAAAAAAUUUGGUGUCUUGAUUUAAUUGUAAAAAACAAUCAUAAUGAGCUGAUGUCAUAGGUUUAAUUUCUAUCACAUUUAUAAUAAAUAAAAAUGGACGUUCGUUAAUAUUCACUCUAAAAGAGAAUGUUCAACUUUUUAAAAACAUCAUAUUUUAAAGGUCUAAUUAUAAGUACACAUAAUAAUCAAAAUAAACAUAUGGAAAUAAACUCACCUAAACAUACUGGAAUUUUUUCAUUCAAUCCUUCUUUUUAUUGAGUAAAAUUUUCAAUUCAUCGUAAUGAAGGAAGGGACGUCUAUUAAUAUACCGAGUACCAACAACUUUUUGAGAUAAGAUUUCAUUCAUUAAAUCUUAUUGUUCUCUCCAAGGAACUUCAAUAAAAUGUGCAUAUAUCAACAACUUUUUUGGAUAAGAUUUAUCCCUCUAAAUCUUUCAAUUCUUUCAAAUUUUCUUUUAAUGUAAACGUAAGAUUAAAGAGAAAUGUUAUAUUUACAACAUUUUUCAUAAUAAAUCUUAGGUAACAUUUUGUUAAUAAUAAAAAAAAAAUUCAAUAAUGAAUUGUAAAAAUGUUGUAGAUAUAAUAAUUUUCAAGAUUAAAAUAUGUUGCAUUUAAAUUUCAAGAAGAUGCUGGCAAAAAAUGGGAGGGAAUUAAAAGAUUGAAUUAGGAAAAUUUCCUUUCUAAAAAAAAAGAAAAGAAUUAGGAUAAUUUCAAAUCAUAAAAACCACAACAAGAAUGGCAAUCCCGAAAUAUGAGGGGAAAGAGGGAGUGAAUGUUUAGAUAGAGAGAAUUCUAAAAUGAUUCUAUAAAAACACGCGUCAAUCUGUGUCAGAGUCCAGCUGUGCAAAACCAAAAACGUAGCUUGAAGCCUUGAACUCGUACAGACUCUCUCUCUCUUGCACACACACUGAGCUCUUCCUCGUUCCUUACAGUAUAUAUAGAAUUAAUUAUCAUUUAUAUAUACAAAGCAACGAAAAAGCACAGAUAAAGCAAAAAAGAAAAGCAAACAGACAAUUCGAUUUCAAUCAGAAAAAGAAAAAGAAAGCAAAGAAAGCAAAGAAGGCAAAGAGACAAAGCAGAGGUCAUUUCUGCAUUUUCUGACUCAGGUGAGAGAGAGAGAGAGAGAGAGAGAGAGAGAAAGCGAAGCUUCCUUCUGAUUCAAUCUGUGGAAUUUUCCAGUGUUUUCACGCUGGUUAAACGGUAAAAUUCUCUUGCUGUCUCAGUCCGAAUGAAGGUUCUUGAAUUUAACUUUUGUGGUGGAAAGCUUUGUUUGUCUGCAAUUGCGACUGAUUUUGAUGUUAUUGAUCUUCAGUGUUUGUGUUUGUGUUUGCGUUUUUUUUUUUAUUCUCCGUGGUUGAACUGGCAAAUCACUACCUGUAUUGUCUUUCUUGCUCUAAUUAAUUUUAUUUAUUUUGUGAUGAUGAUGAUUAUGAGUCUAUAAAAUGAAAUUCAAUGCUAAUCUACUAAUUGUGAAUGUAUUUUUCCUUUUUUUUUUGGGGGGGGGGGGGGUUGUAUGUGAGAGUUUAUUAUAUUCGUGUGAUAAUUUAUUUUGUGAUGAUGAUGAUUAUGAGUCUAUAAAAUGAAAUUCAAUGCUAAUCUACUAAUUGUGAAUGUAUUUUUCCUUUUUUUUUUGGGGGGGGGGGGUGUUGUAUGUGAGAGUUUAUUAUAUUCGUGUGAUAAUGACUGAAAUAUAUUGAUGCAUAUUGAAUUGUGGUUGAUUCUUGCAAAUGAUGACUGAAAAGCAAAGAAAAUGCUUAACAUAAACCUCAUUUUUACUGUGAUGGGGAAUUACAUCAGGGAAUUACACUUUAAGAAAUUCCGCUAUGCAAAUUGUUUAUCUAAUGCUGUGAAUGUGUUCGUUGCGUGCUUGAUUUAUGUAGGUCAACAAGGGUGUAAUACUAAUUAUUUAUGUCUUUUACAAAUGGACAUCAUUUUGGUUUAUGAAUCACUCAACGCAGAUUGAAAAUCAGUGCAUUGAGCUCUAGUACUUGUUGAAUGUUGAGUGACGCUUCCACGUGGUAAUUUCAUUAAACAAAACGUAGAAGUAAUGCUCCUUGUUAAGCAAAGCACUUGGCUUGGUAAGUAAAAUGGAGCAAUGGCUGUGAUACUAUACUGAUGGUAACAUGGCGAGGCAAUGAGGUGAAAUUCAUGAGAUAGGGGUACGUAUGACUAGGGCAACAAAGUUUUAACUCGGGCCCAUAAACUAGUUUUGAGAGUGAUUGGAGUCUUGCAAGAAACUGUUAAAAAAUAGUUGAGUCAAAAUUGAACUAUACAAUUGCCAAUGUGUUUUUGGCUCAAAUCGCACUUCGUGGCUCCUGCUCCUAUAGCUGGAGGUUGAGGUCUUAGGUUCAAAAAUAAAAAUCCAUCGCAUUUGUGUGUAACUUACUAAUUAAAAAAAAAUGUAAACUAAUAGAAAAAUAUAAUUUGAAUUCAUUAUGGCUUCUAAACUUCCCUAUAAAGGUUCAUAAUAGUACCAAAAAGUUAUGAGUUGUUAACUUGCAUUUGUUUCUACAAGGAAAGAAGGCUCCUUUCUUUCAUAUAAAAAGUGGUUAGUGCUUUUCAUAUUUUGAAAGAAGAAGGCCCUUCUUUGAUGCAAUUCUUAGGAAAUCUUUCAUGUUUUUGUAAAGCACAAUCUCUAUUUACCCAAUAUUUGGCUUUUUAAGAAUUUUAUUUAUUAUAGGAUAUUUUAGCUUCAAUAACAAUACAAAUUGCACAAGUGAUCACUAAUUUCUAUGUCAAAAAUACUGUAACCUCAAUUUAUUCCCAAUCAUUUAUUUUCUCAUUGAUUGGCAACUGUAGUUCAGUCAUGAUCUCAUACUUUGUGCUGGUCUCAAGUUAUAUUCUCUAAACCAGAUAGUCGGAUUAUAUUGUUUAAUUUACUGCUUGAUUUUUUAACAUUCUCAUUUGUAAAUUGUUUUCAUAUGGAUGGUAUUAAUGCCAGGAUUCAGAAGAUCUGGGCUGUGGGAUUGAUAGCUUCAACAACAAUCCUUGCUUCCGAACAUAUAGAGGACUAUAUAAAUGAAGAAGAUGGUUUGAAGUAACUUGAUAUCUUACUGAAAAGUAUAUAACUACACUACCUGUUCAGACUGAGUUGGAAACCAAGAUUUAUGUGAAGUUUUAUGAGCAUAUGACAGAAAUUCUAUUUUGUACAUGUCUUGAGUGGUGAUGCAUCCUUUGCUAAUGCACGGUUACCUUUGUUGGUGCAUUCUGUUGGGGUAUCUUUAUGUGUCUGCCCUUUCUCUUGGUUCAGUACAUUACAGAGGUAGGAGAACCGGGUCAGAAGGCUGGUUGCGUGAUUUUGGUUCAGCUUUAAGUUAUGGUUCUAAAAGUAGCACCACUAAACAUCUCAAAAGAUCAAUCUUUUCAUCCCCAUAUAAUGAUUUAGUAUCUUGUGAGGACCUAGAAGGUGUUGGGUCAUUUAAUACCACCUGCUUGCUAAACUCAAACUUAUAUUUGAAUUCUGAUCUUUACAUUUAUGGUACGGGAAACCUAGAGAUUCUCCCGCAUGUUUCAAUUGGGUGUCCUGUUGAAGGCUGUAUUAUAGUUUUUAACUUGUCUGGCAAUGUUAAUGUGGGUCAAUAUGCAACUAUUCGUGCUGGUUCUAUAGUAUUUUCUGCUGCCAAUUUGACCCUAGAGCAAAAUUCCUCUAUAAAUGCAACAUCAUUGGGUGGAUCACCGCCGCCUCAAACUAGUGGUACACCUGUUGGCAAUGAUGGUGCUGGUGGAGGGCAUGGUGGCCGAGGUGCAUCCUGCUUGAAAAAUAACUUGACGAGUUUUUGGGGUGGUGAUGUUUAUGCUUGGUCAUCUUUGUCUGAGCCCUGGAGUUAUGGGAGCAAGGGUGGUGGCAUGUCUGCUGAAAACCCAUUUGGAGGGAAUGGUGGAGGACGUGUCAAGCUUCUUGUGAAAGAAAUUCUAUUUUUAAAUGGAUAUGUAACAGCAGAAGGUGGGGAUGGAGGACCAAAAGGUGGAGGAGGAUCUGGUGGAAGUAUCUUUAUACAUGCUGUAAAGCUGUGAGUACUUAUUUUUUGGUUAUAUUUUUUCAUGCUUGUACCUUUUGGGUUCUGAUGCUCACUAAUUCAAAACCUUGAACAUACCUAUCAAAUUAAGAUUAUUGGUUCUCACACAGUUAAUAUGCAUGCCACAGACGCUGCAGAUAAUAUACAAAUGUCUGACUUUGCAGAUAAUAUACAAUUAUUAAAUGCAGUGGGGUGCCAUCGCCCUCCCAAAUUUUUUGAAUUUAUUAUUUAUUUCCCAUUGUGAUAUAAUUAUAUCUACAAGUAGUUCUCGAGAAAAAUACCACUUGACCCCUCAAAAUUUUCAAAUGUUUGUAUUCUGGUUGGUGUAUGCAUAUUUCUAGACAAUACCCCAACAAAUUAAGUCAUAAUCCUGCUAAAAUCUGUGUCAAGUGAUGAAUAUAUAUAUAGCAUAAGUGUAUUUUUUUGGGUGUGUGUGUGUUUAUGUAAAAUGUAAUCAUGUCUCACUUAUCAGCAAAUUGUUUAAAAAGGUGUUUCAUAUAUGAUGUAGGACAAAUUGCUGAAUUUGUGUACAUGUGGUUGUGGUGGGUUUAGUGUUAGGAGAACUCAUGAAUCUAUAGAAUUUUUUAAGAAAGGGUUAUGGGGUUGUGUUAGUAAUUAAAAGCUGGUUUGAUGAGUUAAUUGAUGGUUAUUUGGGAGAAGAAAGUAUGUGGUGUGAUAUGAAGGAAACUGAGAGAUUGUCCACUUGGCGUAACCACCAUGUGUAAAUUGCAAUGGUAUAUGGUGUGGUAAUAUAAAAGUGGUACAUAUGAAAGCUUCUCGGAGGUUUAGCCUAUCCAUAAAAUGUAGCAAAUCAACAGGUUUUUCUAAGUUUAGAUUCUAGAUUCCUUAGAGCCGAAACUUCUUGUAUUGUUAAGAAUGACAAAGUUACUGGCUAUAAUUACAACACAGCUAAUGACUACCAACUACUAGAGGUAGUGUGUGUGUGUGUAAAAAUACACACCUCAAACCUCCUAAGAACUUAAAUCUGACAAGCUAUUAAUGUUGCGCAAAUUUGCAUCAAAUCUCUAUUUUUCUUCCCACAAAUAUUCUAAAUGCAAGCAAAAUUUUCUCUGUGUAUGUGCUUGUAUGAUGUUAGAGAGAUAAUAUUAUAUUGUGUUGUACUCUUUUGCUGUAUGGGUGGUACUCUUUUAGAAAAAUCUAGAGUAUUUAGGUGAUGAGGUGUGCCUACUAGGUUGUCAGCAUUAGAAUAUUCUCCAUUGUAUUGUAACCUAUUCUCUCUCUCUCUCUCUCUCUCUCUCUCUCAAUAUAUAUAUAUAUGUAUAUGUAUAUGUAUAUGUAUAUGUAUAUGUAAUGGACAGGGCUGAAGAACUAUAAAUUUCAGCUCCUCUUUCUAAAGUAUUCUAAAUACAGUUCAUUAACAUAUGACAACAUACAUAAACAUGCAAAAACAGCCUCAUCAUUAAAAUUUCAAAACCUAAAGAGCUUUUAUGGUUCUUAGAUAUUCUCUCUCUAUCUUUCUCUGAUGCAGUAGCCUAUCAAGGCAAUAAAGGGAAGUGGCUUUAGUUCAGUCCAAGAGAGAGACUCUUGAAGAGUUGCAGCCUUUCUAUUGUUUCUAUCCAACUUAAUUCCUUUCUCACACUUGCCCUGUUUGGUUUCUUAGUGCAUUACUCUCUCUCUCUCUCUCUCUCUCUCUCACACACACACACACACACACACGUAUAUAUCAUUCAAAGAUCACUCUUUGGUCUUGCUUCAGCGACCUCGACUUUUAACUGAUAAGAGGGGGGUGGUAAGGAGUAGUAAAAGAAUGGCUGUGACAUCAAUAGUCCUUUAUCAAACCAUUUCCUUUCUCAAAUAUUAAGGUAAGCAACACUACCCAGAAACCCAGCCUAUAUGAAGAGCUUUUUUCAGCCCCUACUCCUAAAUCCUAACAAGUGAAAGCUGUUGGCACCAAUUCAUCAUAUCUCGCUUCAGAGGCCCGUCAGUCGGCUCUCUCUCUCUCUCACACACACACACAGACAUGCACGCAUGCAUAUAUAUAUAUAUAUAUAUUCACUUGUUGGGGAGAAACCAUCAGAAACUAUCAAGACAUCUCUUUCCACAACUCCCCAACUCUUCAAGCUGUUGGCACCCAUAUAUAUAUUCACCUGAUGGUUUCUCUAUGGCUUUCUUUCACCAUUGUUGGGGAGUUGUGGGGGGAGUUGUGGGGAGUUAUGGAAAGAGAUGUCUUAGCUGUGUUUGAAGAGUUUUAUCAACACAGUAAGUUUGAAAAAUCUCUCAAUGCAACUUUCAUAGCCUUAAUCCCUAAGAAGAAUGGGGCCUCUAAUAUUUCGAGAUUUUAGACCUAUUAGUUUGGUGGGGAAUGUGUACAAGAUUUUGGCUAAGGUUUUGGCAAACCGCCUGAAAUAGGUUUUGGAUCAGCUCAUAUCUGAGUCUCAGAAUAGUUUUGUGAGUAGUAGACAGAUACUUGAUUCAGUUCUUAUUACUAAUAAGUGUGUUGAUAGUAGGGUGAAGAGUAAGACUCCGGGGAUUAUUUGUAAAUUAGAUGUUGAGAAAGCCUAUGAUCAUGUGAACUGGGAGGCUCUUCUAGAUUUGUUGAAGAGAAUGGGAUUUGAGAGGAGAUGGUGUAGGUGGAUCCGCACUUGUAUAUCUACAGUGCAAUUCUCUGUCUUGUUUAAUAGGUCUCCAGCUGACUUUUUUGGGAGUUUGAGGGGUUUGAGACAAGGGGACCCGUUAUCUCCCAUGUUGUUUCUGGUUAUGAUGGAGGUCUUCAAUAAGAUGAUGAAAAGAGUUGAAGGGGCUGGUUUGCUUCGAGGUUUUAGAGCUGAUGGUAGACAGGGUGGAGGGGUCUGUGUCUCGCAUCUUUUGUUUGCGGAUGAUACGAUUCUGUUUUGUGAUGCUGAUAAGGAGCAGAUUCUACAUGUUCGGAUGCUUUUUCUUUGUUUCCAGGCAGUGACAGGUUUAAAGGUUAAUGCGCUGAAGAGUAAGAUGGUUCCUAUUGGGAAGGUGCCUAAUGUCCAUGUUUUGGUAGAGAUUUUGGGCUACCGAUUGGGUCUUUGCCUAUGACCCAUCUUGGUAUACCAUUGGGGGCGUCCCACAAGUCCCCUACUGUUUGGAAUCCUAUCUUGGAGAAAAUUGAGCACAAGUUGGCCGGAUGGAAGAUGUAUUUGUUGGAAGGUGGAAGACUAACAUUGCUUAAUAGCACACUAUCUAGUCUCCCUUCUUAUUAUUUAUCUUUUUUUACCAUCCCUAUGCAUGUGGCCAAUAAAAUUGAGAGGUUGCAAAGGGAUUUCUUGUGGGGGGUUCCAAGUCCCAUUUGGUGGGAUGGGACAAGGUGUGUGCACCUUUGGAAUAUGGCGGGUUAGGUGUAAGGAAAUUAACUACUUUUAAUAAAGCCUUACUAGGGAAGUGGUUAUGGCAGUUUGGAAUUGAGGAGACAAGGCUUUGGAGAAGGGUUUUGUAGCUCUAAAGUUUGGGGAAGAAUGGGGGGGAUGGACAUCCAAGUUAGGUAGAGGGACACAUGGGUGUGGCUUGUGGAGAGGCAUCCGAAUGGGUUGGGAGGAAUUCAGCAAAAAUAUUCGGUUUGAGGUAGGGGUGGGAGAUAGAUUUAAGCUUUGGGCAGACCAAUGGUGUGGGAAGUCUCCACUUCAAUUGACUUUUUCGAAUGUGUAUGGGAUUGCGUCCAAUAAGGAGGCAUCAGUGGCCUCUUCUCUUGAAUGGUUGCGGAUAGAGGAACGGAGAAGUUGGGAUGUUCAUUUUAUCUGGAGACCAAAUGAUUGGGAAAUGGGUGGUGUGGAUGAUUUUCUCCGCACCAUGGGUUCAAAUCUACCUCCUACUGAGAAUGGAGAUCGAAUGCGAUGGAAGUUGACUAAGAACGGGGAUUUUGAUGUCUGAUUGUUUUACAAUAAGAUAAGAAGACCAUUGCCCAUUAUCUUUCCGUGGAAAGGUGUGUGGAAGGUUAAGGCCCCUAGGUGUGUAUCCUUCUUUGUGUGGAUUGCUACAUGGGAUAAGAUCCUUACAAGUGAUAAUUUGAGGGGUAGAGGGUUGGAUUUUGUUGACUAGUGCAUUAUGUGCCGUUGUAAUGAGGAGACAGUGGAUCAUCUGCUCCUCCACUGUGGUAAGGCUUAUAGGUUGUGGAGUUCAGUGUUUAGAUCUUUUGGGAUUUAAUAGGUCUUGCCAAGAAUGGUUGCGGAUACUCUCUUUGGUUGGUGGAACUGGCCGGGAAAGCUUUCAUCUAGCAUUUGGAAUUUAGUUUUUUUGUGCUUAAUGUGGUGUUUUGGGAGGGAGCGAAAUUAGAGAAAUUUGAGGACUUGGAAAGCUUGGAUGACCAGCUAUUGGCUUCUUUUAGUGGCUCUUUGUUUGACUGGUCUAAAGCUUGGAGACUCACCUCUAGUGACUCUCUCCCUGUAUUCCUUAGCUCUCUCCUUUGUAAUUAGUAUCUUUUCCUUUCUUUUUUCUGUCCUCUUUAUCUUAUCUUUCUGUAUUUUGCUCUCUGCCUUAUGUUUUUUUGCAUAAGGUAGUGUUCUUCAAUAUAUAUCCUUAUUACUUAUCAAAAAUAUAUAUAUAUAUAUAUAUAUUCACUUGUGUACUAGGUUGUCUUUUUAUUAGUAAAUUUUAUAAUUUCUUUUUUUUUUUUUAAACCUCAUUUUCAAAAAAUUUCCCAAACCUCAAGUUUGGUGUCUCAAAAAUUUCAAAUUGAGGUGUGGAUAUGACUUCUGAAGAGCUUAGGCUACAUUUUUCUCCAAUGUAAUGGGAAUAAUUUUGAGUGAUCAGUGCUCCCUGUAGUUGGUGUUUAAUUAGCUUUACCAAACCAGUUGCAUAGUUUUGAUGAUACUCUAGAGUUUCAAUCCCAAGUUAUAUAUAGUUUGUCUUCCAAAUAUGUGAGCAGUUACUAAUCUCUUCCUGGAGUGUAGUGUACACCAGCAGCAUCCACUAUUUGGAACCACAGAUAUAAUUAUCAUCUUUAUUUGCUUAGGGUAAUGCAAAAAAUAAUCAACAGUUAAAUAGAUAAUAUAUUUAUUUCUUUGUGUCAAGAACCUUGUAGCUCAACUGACACCUUCUAAUGUUUCCAAUGGAGACGUUUAAGGUUCAAAUCCCCCUCUCCCAUCUAUAGAGUUAUUAAAAAAAAAAAAAGUUAACACUGGGAGAAGUUGUGGAUUCAAAACCCACUAGGUUUCUGUGUAAAUUACCCAAGGAAAAAGAAGAAAGAUAGGCUUAUUCCCUAUCUAUUGAUUAUAUUUCUUUUUGCCCUAGUUUUAAAUAUCAUAUAUAUAUAUAUUUAUCAAUAUUGCUGAAGAUGAGUGAUAUAAUAAUUGUAUUACACUCAUUUCAUUAACAUAGGUUUAGUUUUGGCUGUGGAUAAAGUAUGGAGGAAUUUGUUCUAAUCAUAUGUAUUAGUUUUUUCUUGACUGUAAGCAUUGUGUGUGACUGUAUAGGAAGGGAUAUGGUACGAUAAGUGCAGCAGGUGGGAGGGGAUGGGGUGGAGGUGGUGGCGGAAGAAUAUCUCUGGAUUGUUACAGCAUACAAGAAGAUGUAAAAGUUACUGUGCAUGGUUCGUACUGCUCACAAAUCUGUAUCUGGUAGUAGAAGCAACGAUUAGUCAACUGCUAUAUAUUUCAUUCUUAUGUAAGAGUCUUAACUUGUUUUGUUGAUCUGAAAAAUCUGAAAAUUACAUGCCAAAAAUUGUUAUUAACAGAGUUAAUUGGUUCACUGGAAAUUUAUGGAAAAAAAUUCUUUUUGGCUGCAUAAUUUUACUUAAUAGUUACUAAGAGUGGUGGGAUUAAUACUGUCUCUGCCACAAUGUGGCACCGUGGAGUCUGUCCAACAAGUGAUUUUGUUAAGCUGAAGCGGUACCAACUAUAUAUGAUAUUAAGGAGUGAGAUGCAUCAAUUUGAAUUGAGUUUUCAAUGUUGGUGUUCUAGUCUUAGUGGCAAUAAAAAGCUAAUAUGAUCUUUUUCUAGAUUUCAUUUUGUGGAACUUUAUAUUUUAACCUUUGAUAAUGAUAGUACUAGUCAAGAUGCAUCAACCCCAUUACCGAUGCUUGAUCUUGUCCCAACUGUCACAUUUCUGAAAAAAUAGGCUCCUAAGUUUAAAAUUAUGAGUUUGCUGAAUUUUUCUUGUGUUAAAUAAUAAUGUACAUUUUAACCUGGAGUUUUCUGUAAAUAAUUGCAACCCUUCUUUUCCCUAUUAUGUUUUCAGCUUGGACUAACUGAUCUGUUGGUACUUUCUGUAGUGAGAGUUUAUGCAUGUCCAUGGAUGUGCACAUGCACAUAUGGACAAAUUAACAUUCACGUGUGCAUGCACGCGUUCACAUGCACACACAUACACAACUUAAUUGUGUGGAAUAAUGAAACCAGAACUUCAUUGCAGAGUGAGUAUAACAAUAGAAGGUAGGAGGAGAAUCCCUGCAAGAAUCACAAAAAAGGUAAGGAAAUUGACUUUGAAUCUACAAUUAAAAUUGCCAUGUAGCCUGGUGGCAAAUUUUUUUUUUAUUUGCUAUAGGAGAAAGGGACAAUUUGGUGGAAACAAAAUCACCGUAUGUUUGAAGAUGAGGAAAUUACAGGGACUCAAUUGUUAGCUAUGUUUAGUGGUUCUUUUUGAUUGGUCUCGAGCUUGGGGAUUCACUAAUAUCAUUAUUGUCUCUCUGUACAUAAUUUUGUUCUUUUGUAUUCUUUAGACUCCUCUGUGUUCAUGUAGUAGUCUUUUUGAAAUAAAAUACGUCUUACUUGUCUAUAUAUAUAUUACAUGAGUGUUUUGUUUUAAAAUACACUGUAUUUAACCAUAUGGCUUAGAAAUGAAUUUUUUUCAAUCACUCUCUAUAUUGUAGACACUUCAAAUAGAAAUGUUUGGUUGUAGCUUGCCUCUGCUAAAACCCUUGAGUGUUGAAGAAUACCUAGGAACAAAAGCUUGAAAGCUGGAAGAGCUAAAGUUUUAGAAAAAGAAAUAUAGCAGAUAAGGGUCUGAAAUCACUGAGGUGUGAGAUAAGUACAGAUAGAAAUUAUUAAAAAAAAAAAAAAAAAAAAGGUACAGGUAGAGGAAUUACAUUGGCAAGAAAGAUAUUCACAUUAUCUUUAUGUCUCCAUUGAGAUUUUUUGACACUGUUACGGACAAUAUUCUAAAAAACAGCCAACAACUAUUAACUCAUGAUGACAAUAGACUUUUGGAUAAAUCUUUGAUUACCUAUCAAAAAAAAGAAAAAAGAAAAAACCAUACACUUUUGGAUACGUACUGUUGACAACCACAGUUUGGUCUAGAAAUCAAAAUCAGUAAUAUUGAUAACUACGCUGAUGUCAAUAUAUGUUCCUUGUUCAUAAGUACUUGAAUACACAGAUGAUCUCUUUAGGUGUAUAUGGGACAAUGCCAAGGCCUGAGGUUGACACUAUAUCAAAGUUCUGUUGAUAGUGUGCUAAACGUGUGUAUAUGUGCUGAUGACUAACAUAUCCAUUUCCUACCUUUAGUAUUUACUUAGAUUCAUAAACGGCUUGCUCAAGUUUGCUUUAAAUAUAGAACAGAAUUGAAAAAACGGCUGCUUUCCUCAAUGCUCUUUUUUUCCUUGGUGCAGGUGGUUGGAGUAUGGGCUGUCCUAGGAAUGCAGGAGCAGCUGGCACAUACUUCAAUGCAGUUUUACUGAGUUUAAGAGUGGGCAAUGACAAUGUCACAACAGAAACUGAAACUCCUUUGCUUGAUUUUCCUACUACAAUUAUAUGGUCACAUGUUUUUGUGGAGAAUAAUGCAAAAGUUUUAGUUCCUUUGCUUUGGACCAGAGUUCAGGUUACAAGAUCUGCUUCCUUUGAAUAAUUUACAUAUUCAUGAUUCUUAAUAUGUUCUUGUUCUCUAUACAUUCCAUGAAGGAUGAGUGUUGGUUGGAUGCUUAUGUUCCGUCCAUAUGUUAUCUUUAUUAUUUUUCUUUUUUCCCUCAUAACAUGUGUGCACACGCCUCAUUUAUGGUUGCAAAAUGCACUAUAUGGAAAAUAGUGCAAUUAAUUGUGUAGUUCUUUGUGGAAUAUCUCUCUAUGCUUGGGCAAUAUUAUCAUCAUCACAUGCCUUCCUGUUUGUUCUUUGUACAACUUUAUCCAGAGCACUGAAGCAUCUGAACUGGUAACUUGCUCCCCCCCCAGUUCAGAUAUUUUGCUUAAUCUCUCCUUUAACAUUCUACGGUCAAUGACAUAUAUUCUUCUUGUCAUUUGUCAUUAACAUAGAAUAAGUUGAUCUCUUACUAAGUUUUUGUUGACAAACCUUUUUUGACUUGCCAUGUAGACCAAUAAAGGAUGUUCAUGCACAGUAGUUGUUCGCAUAUGGUGUAUUAUCAUAAGAUCAACUGUUGCCGACUCUGUAGGUGGAAGAUCCAUGAUAUGAUUGUUGGAGGGGUUGUGGUACUUUAUGAGUUCUGCAACCAUUCACUUGUGCCAUUAUAGAACAUUGGUGAAUUCACACCUCAAGAAGCUUCAAAGUCUGCUUGAGCUGUAAGCAAGAAAAAAAAAAAAAAAAACUGCAUCAGGACCUAUGUGACUGUCAUAAUUAACAGAUUAUAAAGUCUUUUUAUGGGCUACUGUCAUCAACUGCUAAAAGGACUGGGUGUUUUGUGGGAGCAAUGCUGGAUGAAGCAGAAGUGGGAGUGUUGAUUUUACUUACUCAUCUGUCACAAGUAGGGGCUGAGUUUCUUCUAAGUUCUUGAGCUCAGCUAAUUGGAAAAAAUUAGAAGCUUGUGCUCAACUUAAGUCUGAAGAUUGAAGCUUACCCUCAGCUCCAUGAAUACUCAAGGAGUUUGCUGUAUGCUCACAAGCUUAAAUUGUUUUGUUGACCUUAGCUUGGUCACUUAAGGUUUGCAUCACCUACAUGGCUGGCUUGUUGUCAUAUGAGACAUUGACCAUUUGACGGGUUAAGUCCCCAAAUCCAAGAAAUAAAUGACAAAUUCAAAUAGUUGGGUUGCUUUCAAUAGAGUGCAAUCCCCCUCCUUUUCAUAUCUUAUUGGUGUGAGACCCUGAACAUCAUUGUAGGUUUAUUAUUACAUUAAAAUGACACCUAUAAACCGCUUAUGGCCAAUUUCUGAUGCCCAGACCCACAUCAGGCCUAAGUGAUAUAUAGAAGUUUUAGGUAUGGCUUAUGAAACAAGCUGGCUCAUGAGCUUGAUGAGGUGAGCCCUGGUACAUUUGGGCUUCAUUAUCAUAAUGGGCGCCUAAACUAGUAGGCCAGUGUUGAGCUUGUCUUAUUCACAUCCCAAAUUAUGAGUCUUCUUAUGAGGAAAAUUUGGUAAGAAUAAUCAUAAUUUUGCUCAAUUAUAGUGUGUCAUAGGAAAAAAAUGGUCCUACAUAUUUCAUUUUAUAUACUUUAAGUAAGAUAUGACUAAUCAAUGUAUGGAUGACCUUAAUUUUACUUAACUUUAUGACUAUUGUCUGUUAUGUCCGUGUGCUGGAAUGAGAAUGAAUAGUGGCACCAUUUAUUUGUAGCAGUCAAUUUAGAUUCCUUGAAGAAUAUGGAGUGUGCUACUGCCAUUAUCUAUACUAAGUUCAAUGUUGGUAAUCUGGUUGGAAUAGAAUUUGCAGGAUAUUUAGGGUGGCAUGUAGACGUUUGGAACAUCAUGUAUAUGGUCCAAUGAAUGAAGUAAUAUGUCUCUAAGGGAUUCUAAGGCUUGGCCCUUUUUAUGGGAUGGAAUUAGAUAUUGGGGUGCCAUGAUAAUUCAACUUCUCCUGAUAGGCGACUCCUGUAGAUUGCUAUUUUGUUUGAAACUCUUAUGAGGUUUGUACAAAUCACAUUGGAGAGUUGGAUAUGGUUACCCUAUGUUUAAUGUGGGUUAUAUGGAGGGAGAGGAAUACUUAUUCGUUUAAUGAUGUGAAGCAUUGGUUAUAGAGAUGAAAUAUUUGUUUAUAAGAUUGUUGUUUCAUUGGUCUAUUAUCCUUGGGGAUACUGAUUUGACUCCUAUUGUAAAUUUCAUAGAUUCCCUCUCUUUUUUAUUGUAACUUUUUCCAUAUCUGUAAUUCCUUACGAGAGUGUUGUGUACACGAGCACAUGACAUUUCUCCUGAUUUCAAUACAAUAUUAUUUCUUAUCCAAAAAAAAAAAAAAUGUAUAUUGGAGAGGUUUUAUUGGAAAAUCAUUCUAAGGCUGAAAUCCCAGUACUUUUAUGCGGUCCAUGGAGCUUUAAAAGAUGGAGGUUGGUUGAGACAAGGUCAGAGGAGACUUUUAGCUCAAUGAAAAAUCAAGAGUAAUUUUAGGAGUCUAUGUGAUUAAUUUAAGAGAGAGAGUAUCUUGAAAUUCUUCCAAAUUUCAUUGUAUAUUUUUUACUGCUGUUUGCUCUCUUUUAGGUAAAAUAACAUUGUUGAACUCGAAACUAAAUUUUUUCCUGGGUCCUAUUUCUUUCACUUUAAAGUAUAGUGAUACUUAUUCUGCCCUUGAAUUGGCCAAGGCAAGAGUUUCGCAUUCAUAUCAAGUUAGAUUUUUUUUUUGUUGUUGUUGUUGUAUAUUUUGCAGCCUAGUUCCCUCUUUUGUUAGAUUUUUUUCAUUCAUUGUUUAUAUACUUUAAAUUCUGUAGAAGUCUCUUUGAUCUUAUCUGUUUAAUUCAAUUACUUUCCUUGAAGCUUAAUUUAUCAUCUCUAAAUCUUUGCUUGUGAAGGUGAGGGGCCAAAUUAGUCUCUAUCGUGGAGGGACCAUUGUAUUUGGACUGUCUAAGUAUCCAGUCUCUGAAUUUGAGCUUGUUGCUGAGGAACUUUUGAUGAGCGAUUCCAUCAUAAAGGUAUGUUGCUUUUUUUUUUUUGGGUGCUUUUGUAAUUCUUGUAGAUGACCCAUAUAGUUAAUACGAGAGACUUCAACUUGAGUUUUUUCUUGCUAAGCUUCACCCCACCUCGCCCCACCACCACCAAAACCCCCCUUUUAGGGUUUAAUUGUCUUUUUGCAUCUUUAGAAUAUCAAUACUCAACAACUUAUCUAUAUCUUUUGAUAAGUGAAUUUAAAUUAAUAAAAAACAUAAAAGAGGGGCACCUAAUAUAUGAGGGCUAUACUAGAGAACUAUUAAUUUUUUCUAUGAUCAUUGUCUUACAAUCUAUUCCACUUGGGACAAAAAAUAUUUUGGGUACUAGUUUUGAGAAUUUCAAAUAAUGGUAAUCUAUUUUGUAAGCACUUUUUUUUCUUUUUGGGAAAAGCAUUGUUUUCAAAAUUUUUCGUUAGGUAUUGUCCUUUUUGUUUUUGGAGGUUCUUUUUAGAUUGAAAGGAAACAUUUUGACCAUCUCAUUCUUCUUCAUUUGCCACCCCAAGAAGUGCAAAAUAAUUCUCCAUAUGUUGCUCAAAGUUCAAAGCUAUUUAUUUGAGUACUUGGAGCCUAACUGUUACAAAUUUGUUUUCUAAUAGUUGAUAGCACAUAUUUUUUUCUCUUGUAAAGUGGGAACCUACAAAAUGUAUUAAAAUGUAUAUAUGAGAUGCUUUUGAGUUGAGCUGAGCUGAGUUUUUUGCAAGAGUAUAUGUUUGUUUACUUUUGUUAGAUUCGUCUUUGUAUUGAAAAUUGGGUUCCCAAAAUAAUAAGCCUUAUGAUUUGAAAAGCCAUGCAUGGGUAUCUUGGCAAAAAAAUAAGGCUGUACCCAUUGCACUAGGCUCUCACAUGUACGGGGUAUAGGAGACAUGGUUGGUGGGCAGCCUUACCCCCAAUUUUGGAGAGGCAUAUUUUCUAAUUUGAACUCACAACACAUUUCUUUAGGUUGAGGGCACUUACCAUCAAACCAAAGUCCAAUGAGUUCAAGACUACUACUAUUCCUCUAGCUCGGCCUUGAGGUCUUGUACGUUGGGGAUGUUUUGAUAAAAAAAACAUUUGACAGGGCUUUCCCUUUCUGGAUUAAAAGCAUUGUAGCGUUGGUGUGAAUUAUAGGAAAAGAAAUAUUGGUCAGUCAGUGGCUGAAAAUGUUGGAAGGCAGCCUGAGUUGAUACUGCAAAGCAUCUCUGGCUGUUAGUGAAGGAAUAAAAUUUGCUAUUGGCUAUAUAGAUUUUGCUUUGAAAGAGUUGCUUGGAUUCUUAUCAUAAGCUUGCAUGACGAAAAAAGAAAAAGACAUAAUGAUUUUAUUGUCCCAUGAUCUUGGGCAACAUUUUGUCAAAAGCAUGGGUGAGACUAAGUGGCCCCCCACCCAUGCGCCCACCCCUUUCUCUGCACCUUGUCCCUCCCCCGUCCCUCACAUCUGCCCCAGUUGCAUGCCUCACAACUUCCACUCCAGCCCCAUGACACAACUGCCUACUCACCUUAUUCUUCGAUAUCCUCUGCCAACACCAGUAUGGCCCUUCCGCCCACAGACACCAAUUGUUUCCCUUGGAACUACCAAAAUGCAUAUACCCUAAGCCCCCCAUCUUUUGUCCCAGGGUCAAGUCUAAACCUAAAUGCUAAACCACAACCACAACCAAAACCAAAGACCGUCCCAACCCACCAACCAGUCCAACACCCACACCAAGCACCACCCCAACCAGUAGCACAACCAUUAGGAGUCGCAGACACUAACAUCGACAACAACCCAUUUCCAGCUGGGGUUGGGUGUUAAUUCCAAUUGAUAGAAAAACUGUUGACUGUGAAUUUGUCGGAGGCAGAAGUAACCCCUUCAAUAUUUGCGAAAGAAGAGUAGAAUAGUUGGGGAAUUAUUGGCGGGGCUAGUAGGACUGAAAUGGAUUGUAGGCCAAUUAUGUGCAACAAAAUCCUUUAAGUUGAAUGAGUUAUUCUUUAGGCAGAAUUGGGGUGGUUUUUGGGCUAUCCAUAUAAUUUUGCAUGCGAAUCUUCUUGGGUAUUACCUAGAGUUGACCGAAUUCCACAGUGGUGGCCAUCAAGGAACGGUUUGAGUGGAAGGAAGGGAUGGUUGAGGGUGGGAAACGUUGUUUGAGGAGAUUUGCUACUAGUUUAUGGGAGUGAAGCAGUGUUGUUAAAAGCGAGGGGCGCACUUAAGCGCAAAGGGCUCUUGGAGCCUAGGCGCGCUUAAGCUCAAAGCUUGAAACCCCAAGGCUCCAAUGCUUUUUGCCUAGGCUCCAAGAGCCCUUUGCGCUUAUGAUACUAUUCCAUGAUGUGAGGGAAUAACUUCUUUAUGUUAUAAUGGUAUUGAACUGUUUUGAGGUUGUAGGUUUGAAAGUUAAUUUGAAUAAGAGUGAGGCAGUUUCGGAAGGAGAUGUUAGGGGACUGGAGGAGUUGGUUGAUUUUCUUUGUCGCAAAAUUGGGAGUUUCUCAAUGAAUUAUUUGGGUAUGCCUUUGGGCUUGUCCUUCAAGGCUAUUGCAUUGUGGAAUUCUGUUAUGGAGAAGAUGUAGAAUAGAUUAAUGGGUUGGACAAAGCUAUAUUUGUCAAAAGGGGGAAGAUUACUGUUAAUUAAGAGUACCUUGUUGAGUCUUCCAACCACUGAAAAUAGUUCAAACAUCAAUUUAUUACAUGUAUAUUUUGAAUGUCAUAUCAAUAUAAUUGGUUACUCCAAUCCUUUGAUUUACUCCAGACAAUAAACAAAAAUAGCCUUUGUGGAAAGUGUCAUACAUUCCAACAAAAACAUUGCUAACCUUUCAGGGUUUAAUAUCUCCUUGUAUAUACUGUCUAACCCUUGUCUAUGGUGGUGCAUAGGAAGAGGUAUGCAAAGCUUAAUUCACUGUGCAUAUUAAUAUAACUUGUCAUGUAAAGUUUUGAAUUUUUCUUUUUCUCCCAAUCACAUGUUGUAUGUUUAUACUCUUGGAAUUUGGAGCAGAAUGUCCAAGCAUGUUGUUAGAAUUGUGUGGUUAAAUGAUUAAAUUUAUCAUAUCCCAAUGGCUUAAGCUUUAAGAACAAUCGGUAAUUUAACAUGGUAUCAGAGCAGGAGGUCCUGAGUUUGAUCCCUAUCUUCUCCACUUUACCUCUCAUAUAAAAUCCUAUACAAUGGUAGUUGCGGCCCACAUGUGAGGGGGAGUGUUAGAAUUAUGUGGCUAAAAAUGAUUAAAUUUACCAUAUCCCAAUAGCUUAAGUUUUUGGGACAAUUGGUAAUUUAACACAUGUAUUUGUCAUAAUUUUUCAUAUGAUUAUUGGGAUAUAAUUACCUGCUUGUGGUAAUGUCACUUGCAAAUAUUAUUGCUACGAUUAGUUAUAAAAUCAAGGGGAAAGCACUUGCAAAUCAUUCACUUAUUUUCAUUCUAAAUCCUUCUUUCUGUCCUCUUAAAGACUGCCUUUCACUUAUUUUAAUUUUUUGAGAAAACACCCUUAUGUUUGUCACAGUGCAGUUUUUACUAGUGAUUUCUAGCUCUUUGAAGGUAUUUGUCAUAGAUACUAUAGAUGAUCUAAAGUAUUCUCAUUUUAUAAAUGAAGGUUUUUGGUGCAUUUAGAGUUGCCGUCAAAAUGUUACUAAUGUGGAACUCCAAAAUUCAAAUUGAUGGUGGCGGAAAUACCAUUGUAACUGCUUCUAUCCUUGAAGUCAGGAAUCUGGUUGUUCUAAGGGUAAUAUGGUUUAUAAUUGAUUGUGUUUUGUCUAUUAAUUGAUUGUGUUUUUUCUAUUAACACAAUCUUUUUCAUGGGUUCAUUGAAAAUUGAGGACAUAUUAUCAUUAUCGUUUACAGGAAUACUCUGUUAUUAGUUCAAAUGCGAACUUGGGUGUAUAUGGUCAGGGACUGCUAAAAUUGACUGGUCAUGGUGAUGCAAUCAAAGCGCAGCGACUUUCCCUAUCACUUUUUUAUAACAUAACUGUAAGUCAUUAACAUAAACAUUUCUGGCAUAUAUUUAAUUAUGAGGUUUACAUUUAUUUUUUUUCACCUAAUAAAAGGUUUUCUUAUAAUUGUUCAAGGUCCUGGUUUCUAUUAUAGACACCAACACAAAGUAGAUGUGCAAAAUAAAUAUGGCUUUGCUAUGUGCCUGCUACAAGUGAUAGGAAAAGCUUAUAGAUAUACUAUAGAAUAUAACAGAAUUCAGAAUUUAUGUCACCCUUCUUCCACCACCACCACACAACCCCCCCCCCCCACCCCCCCCCAAAAAAAAAAACCCCUACACACACUCACAAAAAAGGUAUAUAGAUCCCCCUCAACUAAAAAAAGGGGGGGGGGGGAGGUAAAGAUAGCAUUUCCUGCAAGGAAGACAAAUAUCAAAUAUGCGAGUGAAAUACAGUUUCUUUGUUCACCUGUUAGUGAUAAAAGAAAAUGCUUUUCAGAUCAUGGAAGUAUAACAGAAUUCAGAAUUUAUGUCACCCUCAACUAAAGAAUAUAACAGAAUAUAUAGGAAAAGCUUAUAGAUAUACUAUAGAAUAUAACAGAAUUCAGAAUUUAUGUCACCCUUCUUCCACCACCACCACCACCNNNNNNNNNNNNNNNNNNNNNNNNNNNNNNNNNNNNNNNNGGGGGGGGGGAGGUAAAGGUAGCAUUUCCUGCUAGGAAGAAAAAUAUCAAAUAUGCGAGUGAAAUACAGUUUCUUUGUUCACCUGUUAGUGAUAAAAGAAAAUGCUUUUCAGAUCAUGGAAGUACUUCUUACCCUAUCCUUUUAUUUAUUUAUGUUUAUAUUGGAGAACAUAACUAGCUGAAAGAUAUCCCCCUCCACUUCAAAAAAAAGAACCCCACAUCUUCUUCCCAUUUAAUGCUAAAAUUCCCAGACCUUCCUUUACAGCUUUCUAAUUCUGUUUGUGGGUUUGUACUAGUUCAACUCAUGUAUGGAAAUUUUCUAUGUAUUAGUCUAUAUUUCAUGUCCGUUUAAUUGAUUAAUUUUUUUUGGGUUCCCUUUAGUUGAAGCUUUCUUAAAAUUCAUUGCUCAUGACAGGUUGGCCCUGGUUCUUUACUUCAGGCUCCAUUGGAUGAUAGUGCUGGUAGAAGCAUGUGAGUAUGAAGUUGUGAUUCAUUUUUUAAGGACUUCUGAUUUUGUUUCUUUGAUUUUGUAUUGGACGAUCUUCCAAAUCUUUAAAUUUGAAUACCUUUUUGUAGGGUAACAAAGUCCCUUUGUGAGAGUCAGACAUGCCCUGUGGAUUUGAUAACUCCACCAGAUGAUUGCCAUGUCAAUUAUACACUCUCCUUUUCACUUCAAGUAAGAGUCAUAUUUUUAUCACUUUUAACCUUCCCAGCAUCAAUCAUAUAGUGUUAUAUUGAAAUUAACGCAUUGGAAAACUCAUGUCCAAGUGGCUCCAUUAUGGAAUUCUGAUAUUGUUUGCUGGCCAUCAUUGUCACGAGCCUUGCAAAUAAGAGUUUCAAUUUGACCAUUGUACUGUUUUAGCAGCAGUAUGCGCCUUGAUGUUUUAAAUUGUAAACAGGUAUCACAUGAUGAAGUGCUGUUUACCUAUCUAAUCUAUUAAAAAAAGAAAUAAAAUUUAUUAAAAGAAAGGGAAUAUCCUAAUGUACUGGAAUAUACAAGAGAAACCCAAAAAAAUCAAAGGUAAUUGAGAUCUAAAAUUAAGUAGAUCUAGAAAUUCCAAAAGGCUGAGAGUGCGGAUAAGAGUAGAGUAGCCUCAACAGUCAAACGACGACCUUAAAACAUCAUUUACAAUUUAAUUUGUAAGAUGUUUAUUGUCUUGGGAAGUGAGUCUAGGGCACAGUAAUUUACCCAAACGCACAUAUUAUUUAUAUAUCUGGGUGAUUACAAAUUACAAUGACAUUACUCUUUUGCCUCUAACUUAAUAUAAACUUAUAACACUCCCCCUCAAGUUGGGAUGUAUAUAUUGUAUAGUCCCAGCUUGUUACAUAACACAUCCAAACAAAUCUUACGCAAAGCUUUGGUAAACUUAUCAGUUACUGAGCUCCUAUAGCAAUCAUACCAAUUUCCUUUGUCUGAACCAAAGUAGCAGUUGAAUUUGAUUCAACGAAAUUAGACUGCAUGGACACUAACGGUAGUUUUCCUCAGGGAUGGAUACUAUUGAUGUUUCAGUGUAAUUUGAUGUGAAGUAUGUUUUUUCCUCUUGAAGGCUGACCCGAUGAGCUGAGUGAUUUACAAUGCAGAUCCCAACAAAAAUCCAAUAGAAAUCUACAAUAUUACUUUCUCCAUGACAAUAAGUGCAUUUGUGAGGAUCUUAUCCUCUAUCAUGACUCCCCCUUCUUCUCGACCUCCACAACCACGACCUUCAUAAGCCACAUUUAGAGAAUCUACCACCCUCCCAUACCAACAGAAAAAGCGUAUUUCUCAGUGGAUAGUAAAAUAGAAUUAGACUCAAAUAAGGAGGUUUGUCUAAGUCAACUAAAUACUUUGCCUAAAGAUGGAAGUUCCUUACCAUGCAAAAUAUGUGUCUCCACUGGGUCAAAGUUGGAGGUAAACCAGAGAGAAAAUAAGCUACACGCAUACAGUCUCUUAGCUUUUUAUUAUCAGUAGAGAUACGUUGGUAGAGGUUCGAGUUCUUUAUGUAUACCUCUAAAGUCUAAACUUUGCAUAAUAAUCCUCUAAAGAGAGAUCAUUAAGAGUAAUGGGGAAGUAGUUUUGAUGAAGAUCAUAAAUAUGUUGGAGGUUAUUAACACUAGAAUGCAACUCUUACACAAGUUUUGCAGUGGGCCAAAAAGCUAAACUACAGCUCUUCAUACUGUUCCACAAACCACUCCUAAUCUGUGUACCAUCUGCUCUCCAAUCAGCAUACUUAGGAUCUGUAGUAGGAGGUGUUGGUACUGCAUGUGCAAGGAGAAUAGGGAGACAUUUAAUCAUCUCCUAAUUUUGUGCAUCAUGUGCCCUCCAUUGAGCUCUUCAUACCCAACCACUGCCAUUACGUUUGUUUUAAUAAAGAAAUGGUGAUAUAUUGAAUUGAGUUUGGAUAUCUUUAUUCAAGUUAGGAUCCAUGUUUGGCCCAUUGCCCAUAUUUGGAUUGCUAUUGGUCCUUAUUCUCUUCUCAAAGACUUUUUUAUGUUGUUAAGUGCUUCUUGUAUCUUUAAAGCUAUUGCCUGGAAAAUGUUUUUAAUGACAAGUUACCAUAAGAAGACCAAUUUGUAUUAUUGCAUGUAUCAUUAUGUAACAGGCAAUGGUAUCUUCUGACCCUUGACAGAUCUGUCGUGUUGAGGACCUUCUUGUGAAUGGACUUAUCAGAGGAAGUAUUAUUCACAUCCACAGGGCACGGACUGUCAUUAUUGAUACUGGUGGUGUGAUGACUGCUUCAGAAUUAGGUAAAAGAGUGUAUUGCAAGAAUAAAGUUGUUUAGAUUGUUGACUCCUUGUUUUUUCUGUUCCAUUGUUGCAAGGUCAUAAUGCAUUCAUACUAACAACUUGUCAAUUUCUUGGAAAAAGGAUUUGCUGUACAUAUUUUUCUUUAAUAGAUGGAGGUCCUUUUCCAGGUUGCAGUGGAGGUAUUGGAAAGGGAAACUAUUCAAAUGGAGCUGGCAGUGGUGCUGGACAUGGGGGCAGAGGGGGCUUUGGGUAUUUCAAUGGGAGGGUGAGCACUGGAGGUAACAAAUAUGGUGAUGCUGAUCUCCCCUGUGAAUUGGGAAGUGGAACUGAAGGCCCUGAUCAGUUGUACGGACAUGUGGUUGGAGGAGGAAUGAUUGGUAAUGUUUCUAAAUUAACCCCAGUUUUCCACCAAAACGUUCUCCUGCCUUUUGAUUAAGUAAAUGGGAUGUGUUAUGUUUAAAAUUAAUGAGCCUCCAAUUUUUACAUCAAUAACAUGUAAGUUAAAUGUUAUGCCUAGGUCUUGUAUCUUUUAAUGCCACCACCUUUAUCAUGUUUAAGAGUUCAUUUUUCAUAUUUGCUAGUGAUGGGAUCCAUCCAGUGGCCGCUCCUAAGGCUUGAUAUUUAUGGAUCUUUGAGGGCUGAUGGUGAAAGCUUUCGCAGAAUGGCAGGAAAUGGAAAUGGUUCUUUGAUUGGUGGACUUGGUGGAGGUUCUGGUGGGACAGUCCUCCUUUUCCUUCAAGAGCUCAGGCUUUCUGAGAACUCGUCUUUAUCUGUUGUUGGGGGCAACGGUGGUCUUCUAGGCGGUGGUGGGGGUGGUGGUGGGAGAGUUCAUUUUCACUGGUGUAAGAUAGAUGUUGGGGAUGAAUAUACUCCAGUUGCAAGUAUAAAUGGCUCCAUAAAUAGUCGGUAUGCCUAUUAUUAUGAUAAAUGACUUAAAUAUUGGUAGAUAAAUUUUAGGUUAGUGCAUGUACUUGUGCUAACAUAUCUGCAGAUUUUUUUAUUUCCUUGUCAGCUGAAAUAUGAAAUGGGCAUUAGGGGAUGAAACUGUUUCAAUAUAUUAUUCCAUGAUAUUUUAUUACUCGACAACACAACAGUAUGCAUGUUAUUUAGUAUGAGAUUCCAUGGGUCUUUGGACUCAUAAAACAAGUAAUAGAAAGAGUAUUUUUUUCUGUAGAGGCUUUCUUUUGUGUUGGAUGUAGAGGGUUACUCAGAAUACUCUUUCUCAGCUAAAAAAAAUUCUGUCCUUUUAUGGUGGAGCAAUACGUAAAUAUCUGUAGUUUAUAUAUUUGCCGUCCAUAGACUUUUGGAGGAAACUAAUAUUGAAUUGGACAUUAUGUACCCCUGGUCAUAUUGAGAUUGCAUCCAACUAGACCAAGCAAGCACUUUGUCCAUUGCCGCUGUGGCAGGACCUUGAUUAUUAAACAUGAUGACCUCAGCUGCUGUGGAACACAGGAGUUGCUCAGGCUGGGACAUGACAGUGGGAAGAAACAUAAAGACAGUCCCCAACUUGAAUUUAUCCAAAAUUUGUAACAUUCUUCUAAGCCAAAAUUAAUCUAUAAAGGAAUCUUUUUUUUUUAUUUUUAUUUUUUUAUCAGUAAAUAAAUUUAUUAAUAAAAAGCAAUCCCAGUACAGUAGUUGUGUACAGAAGAAAGAGAGAAGAGGAGAGGGGAAAAGAAACAGAAAAUCAGCUAAGUAUUGUGCCAGGAUUCCAUGAAGUCUAAAAAUCCAUGAUCAUAAAAAGAAACAAGUGCAAAAGUACAAUGUAAACCCUAUAAGUUUAGUGAAUUGUCAUUUUCGUCCACUAAGUUUAAAUUUAGACAUUGUAGUCUGUUAACUAUUUUGUCAUUGUGGUCUUACAGUGCUGUAAUUUCAGUCAUUCUGUCCAUUGCUGUUUGAAAAUCUCUGUUAACUCUUUCAAAACGAUGCCAUUUCACAUGAUAAAAUAAUUAACAGCAUUUUUCAAAUGGCACUGGACAGGAUUGACAAUAACAUACUAAAAUGAAAAAAAAUUAUACUUAGUGGAAUGACAAAUUUAAACUUAGUGGACUAAAAUGACAAUUCACCGAAUUUGUAGGGUUUAAAUUGUAUUUUUGCCUUUUUUUCAUAUUUACCUAUCAAAAAUAAUUUUUUUUCACAUGAUGAUAAAGAUAAUGUUAAGUGAAUUCUUUUUAUUAUGGUGUUAACUAUUUUUUAUCCAAAUAAUUCUCAUAGCAUAUUAUCUGUUGAAAUUAUUCAAUAGGAGUUUAUUCAAGAAUUUAAAAUUUUAUGCAGACUUUAUUUUCUGACACCCCCAUCAAUCAGGAUAAACUCUUAAUUGUGUGCAGUCUUGGUGUUUCAGCCAAUGGUGAUUUUUUAUGUGACAAUUUCUAUAUCCUUAGCAUCUUUUCUCUCUCUUUUUUUUGGGGGGGGGGGGGGGGGGGGUCUCUCUUUUUUUUGGGGGGGGGGGGGUGGGGUGUUAAAUGGAAUCCUUUGAAUCAUCUUAACAAUUAGCUACCUGUGAACUAUUAAAGAAUUGAUGGUGCCACUGUUAAGUGAGUGAAGGUUUAAUAAAAAAAUAAUGCUGAAAGGCCAUAUAGAUUUGGUUUUCUGCAUCACCUUAGAAGAAAAUAGCUUCUGUCCAGAUGCCUUAAAUUUUUAUUUGUAAUGCUUUUUAUCAAUGAAAUGCCCUUUCUAUCUCAAGUCAAAACCUUUCCUUUUUAGCCUGAAGGCAUCAUUUUAGAACUCUUUAUGUUACAAUUGACAAACUUGAAUGAUAAAUAUUGGUAUGGUUUUAAAAAGAUCUUAAAAAGUCCAGUCCAGGUAAUAACAGCAUAUUACUUAUGUCUAACAGCGGAGGUGCUGGGGACAAUGGUGGUCUUUAUGGGGAUGAGGGCACAAUUACUGGAAAAAAAUGCCCUCAGGGCCUCUAUGGUACUUUCUGCGAGGUUGGCUUUCUUUGACACUUGACUUUAAUAUUGAAAACAUGCAUCCAUGUUGUUAUACUGAGAAACUACAUCACUUGUAGCGUCAUGUAAUACUUGCAUUUUUUUCCCUUUACAUUCUAUGAGGAGCUGUAACAUUUUCUUUGAUCUUUUAAGAUUCUCAAUUGUAGUUUUAUUACCUGUUACUAACUUAUCAUUAUCAAGGGCUGUUAAAUUGGAAAGCUUGGUGUAUCUUCAUUUUUUCAUGAGGAUAAUUUUCUUCUUCUUUAUCAUUAUAGAUGAGAGGAGACUGUAACUGCCCCUCUCUAGGUUACUAUUGCAGGCUUAAAAGGUUAGAAAAAGGUUCCCUAAGCAAUUGUUUUUAGAGAACAGCACAAAUACUCAAGUGCCAGAUGAACCCUUCUGUGUCAUGGGCUCAAGGACACAUCCAAGAAUUCAAUUUAGGGAAGAUGUGGAAAGAUGUGUUUGCUCUCUCAAUAAAUUGAUCAAGAGGGCAGACUGUAUCUUUUCACCCACAGUUUGUACCAUAGUUUUGCAGCCUGAAUAAGGCAGCAAAGAUGACGUGUUUGCUGUAAACAGCAGAUAAAGCCUAUAAGGCAGAAAAGGGAGUCAGUAACCCCAGAAAUAAUAUUAGUUUUCUGUCAAAAAUAGCCAGUUUUCUUCAGAUUAUUACUUAUUAAUAAGAGAAGCAAUGCCUGACUAGUCAAAGACACAUAAUAAAUGCUAGACAGCUGACAAUAAAUUUAGAGAUUGGAGCAUCAAGUGGAAUUAUGCUGAUGUAGGAUACAAGAGUCAUAGAUAAACUUGAAGAGGCAGUAAGUAAUUUUUCAGUUUAUUCUUGAUUUCAAAAUGUGGUUGAUGGUUUUGAAUGGACUUUUUUUGGAGUGUAUGAUCCUAAUGCAGAUGCAAAUAGAUAGCAGCUUUGGGAAGAAUGGGCAAGGGUAUAUAGUUGGUUGGUGCAUGGGGAGGCUUUCAACAUAAUUCCUUUUCCAAGCAAAAGGAGGAGCAUUAAGAACAAUGGUAAGGAUGUGGCAUUUUUCUGCAAUUUAUUCCAGAACAUAGCCUAAUGGACUUACCAUUGGAGGAAAGUGUUUAAACUUGGUCAAACAAUCAUGGUCAACCAUCAAUGCCCAGGUUGGACAAAUGUUUGAUCUCACUAGAUUUGGAAGAACAAUUUCACUAUUUGAAUCAGAGAUUUCUUCAAAGAUCAUAUUCAAACCGUUUUCCCAUUUUACUUGAUGGUAAUGAUAUCAACAAGGGCAAGGGCUUAUUUACAUUUGAAAAUAUGUCGUUAAGAACUGAGGGCUUUGUGGAUAAAGUGAGAAAUUGGUGGGGGAGUUAUCACUACCAUGGGUCUCUUAGUUAUAUUUUGGCUUUGAAACUCAACUCCUUGGAAGACAAUAUGAGAAAUAGGAGUAAGGAGACUUUUGGAGAUGUGACAGUAUGGAAGAAACAUUUAUUGGUGCUAAAUGAAUGGAGGAAGAGGGAUGCCUGAUUGUUGAAGUUUCUUUUAUUCCAAAAAAUAUGGGGGCUUUAGAUGCUAAAGAUUAUAGGCCGGUCAGCCUUAUUGGUAGCGUCUAUAAGAUUGUGGCUAAAGUGCUAGCUAAAAUAUUGAAGUUGGUUUGGGGUUUGAUAUCCCAGACUCAAAAUGUUUUACACAAGUGAGACAGAUCUUGGAUUCUUCCUUAAUUGCAAAUGUGUGGAUAGUUAUUUGAAAGUUGGAUCUCAAAAAAGCGUAAGAUCAUGUUAGCUAGAAGUUUUUGUUAUACAUGUUAGAGCGGCGUGCCUUCCUGAGUAGGCGGAGAAACUGGAUUUAGUUUUGCUGUGGCUUCCUGAGUAGGUGGAGAAACUAGAUUUAGUUUUGCAUAUCCACGGCUCAUUUCUCCAUAUUGAUCAAUGGUAAUCCUAGUGGUUUUUUUGAUAGCUCAAGGGGUCUCCACUAGGUUGAUCCACUUUCCCCCUUGUUGUUUGUUAAAGUAAGCAGGCUUUGAGCAAACUCAUGGUGUGAGCAGUUGAUGGCCAUUUUCUUCAGUAGUUUGAAGUUAGAGGGAAGGAGAAUGCACAUGUAAUGAUAUCUCACCUUUUGUUUGUUGAUGAUACAUUAAUUCUAUGUGACCCUGAGCCGGAUCAAAUAGGGUAUUUGAAGUGUAUAUUGUUGUGCUUUGAAGCUGUUUCUGGGUUAAAGAUUUAUUUAUCCAAGACUGAGAUGGUUCCUGUUGGAGUGGUUCCAGGUAUUGAGGAGCUAGCAGCAAAUUGGAGUGCGGAGUUUCUACUUUGCCCAGGAAGUAUUUGGAUUACCGUAGGGCUCUUGGUUUAAAUCCAAGGCUAUUAGGGACCCAAUACUUGUAAGGAAUAAGGAUGGAGAAGCGGUUAGUAGGGUGGAAAAAGCUUUACCUGUCCGAGGGAGGUAGGAUCAGUCUCAUUAAGAGCACUCUCUCUAGCCUGCCAUCAUAUUUUCUCUCAUUAUUCUAAUUCCAAUAAGUGUUGCUAACUGUUUUUAAGAAGUUAAAACAUGGUUUCCUUUGGGGUGGGCUACUUAUGUUAAUGCCAAACUACAGGAAUUCACUAUGUAAUUAUCUGUUGGUUUCAACUGUGAAACAUUAAUUACUCAAAUGGAAGUAUAUGACUUAGAUUACUAGGCUGGAAGGAGUACAUAUGAUCUGAGGUUACCAUGAAAUAAGACUACUUUCAUAUGUUUAGAAAUGUUUAGAUGUAUGUGUAACCAAGCGGGCAUGUGUAGCAUGUAUUUUAUAUAUGCAAGAUUUAUCGAGCAAGUAUAAAUGUUCACGUCUUACUUCUUACUCCAUAUACAUUAUUUAGAUAUUCCUUGGUUGUAUAUGUCUGUUAUUUAUUAUUAUUACAUAAAAGCUUUUGGCAAUGAAAUGUUGUAUAGGAAUGCCCCAUUGGUACUUACAAAGAUGUUGAGGGCUCUGAUGAACAUCUUUGCACACCAUGUUCUCUUGAUCUUCUUCCCAACCGUGCUAAUUUCAUAUAUGUGAGAGGUAAUUUUGCUAUAAUCUCUCUCUCUCUCUCUCUCUCUCUCUCACUUUUCUUUUGGCCCACAUCUCACUUGAGAGCACUUUUUUCAGGAGGAGUAAGUCAGCCAUCAUGUCCCUAUAAAUGUAUAUCCGACAAGUAUAGGAUGCCAAAUUGCUAUACACCUCUUGAGGAGCUGAUGUAUACUUUUGGGGGCCCCUGCCCUUUUGCUCUUCUGUUGUCAUGCAUUUUGGUGCUUCUAGCUCUGUUCUUAAAUGUUUUGAGAAUCAAAGUAGUUGGGUCAGCUUCUUAUCACAGGGAAAAUUCAAUUGAACACCACUGUCAUCACCCUUUUCCAUACCUUCUUUCUUUGUCAGAGGUACAUUGUUGAUUAUAACAGACUUUCAUUUGUUUCAGCUUAUGCUGCCUGCAGCGAUUACUAGGCCUGCUUCAGCAUUUUACAAAUCUGAUUUGUUUAUCAUAUACUUAAACCUAGGUGCGUGGAACCAGAGCGGAAGAAACUCAAAGCCAUGUUCACAGAAUGUACUUCAUGGGCCCCAACACGUUUAGAGAACCGUGGCAUCUUCCUUACUCUCCUCCCAAUGCAAUUAUUGAAGUAGUGUAAGAAAACAUUUCAAGUUAUAAAGGAUAUAGGCAUAAUCUGAGAUUAAUGUCAUAUGUGAUAUUUCUGAAUGUCUUGACCUGGAAUUUUUUGCCAUUUAGCCUGAUUGUUCUAACAUUUUCGUUAUGUAGCAUCAAAGCCAAGCAUAUUUGUUUAGUAACAACUCAAGAAUCAGAGACUCAAGUUUAAUGAAGAAACUUGAGUCUAAAGAGACUCAGUUUUGGUGCUCUGGCAGAGGCUGAUGUGGAUUUUUUAUCCACAUGGAACUUGAGCCUUAAUGGCUCAAGUUUCUUAAAGCAAACUUGAGUCUCUAAGACUCGAUGUGCUACUUAACAAAUUAGUUUGCAAAACUUGUCAACUAACGAAAUUUUUUGUAAAAUCAGGCCAAAUGGCAAGAAAAUCCUCUUGACCCUAGUAAACUCAGCCAACUUGAUAUUAGUCAUCAGAGUUCAACUCUUUUUCUGAUGAUUUUGGUUUAGUUGGGAAGAAAACUGUAAUUGCUCUUUUGGCAUCAUGAAAUUGGAGUAGUUUUUAUUCCAAGAUACGCUUCUUAGUGACACCUUUUGAUUAAAAAGCAGUACAAACUAUGAAGCCCAUAAGAUAGAACAAUAUUAUGUUAGCAUCAAUUUUCUUUGUCUUAUAUCCUAAAAUUUUAUCUGUAAUGUACAACCCUUCUUGUUAUGCAGGUAUGAAGAUGCAUUUAACAGAUUUAUUGAUGAGAUUAACUCUGUUUCUGCAUAUGAUUGGUGGGAAGGGUCAGUUCACAGCAUACUUUCAGUUCUCGCAUAUCCUUGUGCCUGGUCCUGGAAGCAGUGGCGUCGAAGAAAAAAAAUUCAUCGCCUUCAGGAAUAUGUGAAGUCUGAAUAUGAUCAUUCAUGUCUGCGCUCAUGUAGAUCCCGAGCCCUAUACAAAGGGAUGAAGGUUUGACUUAUUAUGUGUUUAUUGGUUUAGAGCCAAUUUAUUUGUGUUAUGCAAAGUUUUAAAUUAAGUUUUGUACCUGGUAAUUACAGCUGAAAUUCUUUUUAUCAGCAAGCAAAACAGUAUACCAACCCCCCUAUUUUCUGUCUUGCUGAAAUUUCCAAUCUGUAGUAUGUUUUGGCCAUUUCAGCCUAUUUUGGUAGUUCUGGAUGAUAUAUGCAUAUCAGCCUGGAAUGAUUUGCCUAGAGUAUAGACUGCAUAUUUUUGGUUUCUUUUAUGAAUAUACAGACUAUGUAUAGAUAACAGUAACUUUGAAACAGUACAUAGAAAUGUGACGGUACCAAAAUAUUUUGUUCCAAUGGACAGACUAAAACAUUCAUCAAAAUGGAGUUUAAAACUUUGCUGUGAUAUUAAUUCAGCACUCCCUAAUAAAUACCACUUGCUGGAUGGUGUUCAUAAUUCAGCACUCCCAUUUGUUUAUAAGAUCACCUCCAGGGAUAGUUGUAAGUCUAAAACAGAGAAAGGAAAGAACUUUUGGAUUAUUUGAACUUACCAAAAAAAUUAAGACAUCCAGUUUGCAGUGGUGCAAGACCAGCUAGUUGGAUUAUUUGAGCUUUAUUGUGAGAUAAGGUAUUGAUAUUCCAGUGUUUUAAAACUCCACUUGACCCCAAAGUUGAUAGAGUCUAGUAUAUUUUGACUGGGAGUCACCUUAGAUUUAGUCAGGGGGCAACCCAUGACGACCUGGACAUGAUGUAUACAUGCGUAGCUAAUAUCUACAUAUAUGAUUCUUCAAUCUUAGAAUAGAAUGGCAAAAAAGUAUACAUGUGGCUGACCCUGUUGAGAAUGCAUAGCUGAUCCCAAAAUUUUGAGACUAAAGGCUUGGUGGUAGUUGUAUGAUUCUUCAGUCUGGUAAUAUCAUCACUAAAGAUUUUAGGUUAUAGAUUCUCAAAUAAAAAGUGUAUUCAAAUAAAUAGAUUCAAAUUCUUAUCUUCUGGAUAUCAAAAUCAUUUACCAUUUGUUUGGGUUAGGAACGAUUGACCAGAAUCUGAGGUUAAGUCAGUAUUUUCAAUUAUGCUAUCUGCAAUUCUCAAGUUUGGCAAGUUAGAAAUGGAAAUUGUUAUUUUCCAUGGAACUUUUUGGUGGAAUUUGUAGAGGCAAAAUUAUGAUUACAAAUUCCACCUAAAAAUAUGUAUAAUUUCCACAUUCUAUCCAGUUGACUCUUUCUUGUGUGUCACACAUUGUCCCACAUAUAACUUGUGUUCAUUGCAGACUCAGGCUAAAUUUUUCAGAUUUUUUUUUUCGAUACCAACUCUCAUUAGAUUUGAUAAUUAUAUAUUGUUUAUGUAGUUUUUGCUUAGUUUAGAUGAAUAUGAUUUCUUUAUAUGUGCUAAUCAAUAAAAUUAGUAAUUGAUGGGAUUGUAAAUCCAAUGAUUUUAAAAUUUCUAUAAAAAUUACCAAUUAUUUCAUCCAAACACAAUGUGAAGGAAGAAAAAAAUUUCUUUCUUUGAUGCCUUGAUUUUGAUAUAUUUUCUCAAAAUUUUGACUUGACUUGCUUCUAAAUUUUGUGAGUUAUCUUUUUACUCAAGUGAGAAGUUCAACUUUUUUUGUCUUCUUUGUUUACCUUUUUACCAGUCAAGCCAUGUGUUCACUUGACGAGUUUGGAACAAUGGACUACGUAAUAAUGUAUCUAUACCUUAUUGAAUGGGUUUGGAUCAUCUGAUUAUCUUUUGCUUUACAUCAUCUCUAAAUCAGGACACCAAAACUUGAUUCCAGAUUUUUGCUUAAUGAGACAUACAUUACAUUUUGUGGUUAUGAGUGUCACACACCUAUGUGAGUCAUAUGAUAAAAUCUGAGAGACUGACUGCGACACAAACAUUGUCACUGAAACAUGAAUUCUCUUUGUAACACAUGGCAAUAUUAAUGCCCACCAUCAACUUGUGUCAAUGAUUACUCUUGUUCAACUUAUUGGCUAGUGGGCUUUUGAAAUGUAAGUGGUCAACUGUAAAGAGGUAAAAAAAAAAUUCUGAGAGUCCUUAUUGUAUCCACUGAUGUUCGUUAGUGUUACAGGUUAUAGGACAUUCUAAAUGUCAUUAAAUAUUGUUAUACUGCUUGGAUUCUAUCUCAUUUCCUCUUUAGGUUUUUUAUUUUCUAUUUUUUUGUGUCAAAUAAAUGUAGAUACUAAUCAUAUCCAUUAUCUCUGGAGGGGUUAAUUAUUUCUAAAAUGUCUAGGAAGUCACCUCCUCUAUUUGUCCUGGACAGUCAGCAAACAAGAGGCAUGUGUCUGUAAUCCUCACUAGUUUGCUAAAACUAUAUACAAAAUAUCCCUUGGAAGUGUGGAUUUCCAUUCAGUUUUGAACUUUGCAAAAUUUCAUUUUCUUUAACAUGAGUUAAUACGAGUGGACAUUAAUACAGGUUGGGGCAACACCAGACUUGAUGGUGGCAUACAUUGAUUUUUUCCUAGGAGGUGAUGAGAAGCGAUUGGACAUGGUAUCAAUUAUUCAGAAGAGAUUCCCUAUGUGUAUAAUUUUUGGUGGGGCUGGAAGCUAUAUGUCACCUUAUAAUCUUCACAGUGAUACAUUGUUGACCAAUCUUCUUGGCCAGGUUUCUUGGUUGUUUAUGAUCUUUUAAAUAGCUUCAAAAUUAUUUCUUUUUUGGUGUCUCUAAAUAUAAUUUUUAAUAUUUAUAUCUGACAAAAAGAAAACUGUAUUUGUUUCCCAGCAUGUUCCAGCAACUGUUUGGACACGUUUGGUUGCUGGUUUGAAUGCUCAGUUGAGGACAGUGAGGCAUUGCUCCAUCCGUUCUGCACUUAUACCUGUUAUUGACUGGAUAAAUAGUCAUGCAAACCCUCAGCUUGAGUUCCAUGGGAUUAAAAUUGAGCUCGGAUGGUUUCAAGCAACAGCUUCCGGUUACUAUCAGCUGGGUAUUUUGGUAGCAUUUGGUGAUUAUUAUUUUCAAGAUAUGCUCCAACCUGAUUUAUUGGACAGUAGUGAUGACUCUACAAGGUAACUUUAAGUGGUUGCACGAUUGCUUGAACCAGAGCUUUUACCUACAGUUCCUAUACAUCUUGCACCAUAGAUUUUGCACAUUGCAAGACUAAUACAUCAUAAACUAUCCAUAUAAUAGUUUAUAUCACCUAGUACCUGUUUCAAAUGCAUGCAACUAGCAACUAUCUGUAGAUUACCUACUUUCUUACUCUGGUGACAAGAGACAACUAUGCCUUCUAUUCUAUGCCAUUCAUGCAGCCUACCUCAGAGACAGUUUUCUGCAUUCGUUGCUGAGGAAAUUUUUUAUGGGGAUGGAAAAUGUUGUAGAUAUGAUUAUUUGUCCUUAAGUAGAGAGACAAGAAAAACAGAGAAAAGAAAAGAAGAAAUGAAUUGGUGGAGACAAGAUUCAAAUGUAGGACCUUCUCCUCUGAAACCAUGAUAAACUACCACUUGUCCCUAAGUUUAAACUGUUGGAAACUGGUGAUUUAAUCAUUUAAACAUUAUUCUAACAAAUAAUACUGCCUAUGGAUGUAGAUUUUUAAUGGCAUUAAACUCAUCUGUGUCUAAGGGAAAUAUAACAGUUUAUCUUUCAACAAUGAUAUCAAAAGGGUAGACUUAAUACUUCAUUCAUUGACAUCAUCUGUGGUUAGGAUAAAUAGCAAUUUCUCUGUCCUCCUAGUCUCCAGUGAAUGCCCACGAUAUCAAAGGAUCUAAUUGAUUCUUUAGUCCAGAAUAUAUAUUUGUUAGUCCAACAAUGAAAACUAUAAGUUGACUCUUUUGGUGAUUUAUUGAAUAAUGUUUCAGGAAAAAGGUUGCGUCUCCAAGAGAAAGUCUUAAGCAGAAAACUUGGGCUCAUACAAGUCAAGCAUUUUCUCUUAAAAGGAUAACUAGGGGAAUUAAUGGAGGACUCAUAAAUGAUGUUACAUUGAGAUCAUUAGAUUUUAAAAGGGAUUUUCUCUUUCCCCUUUCUCUCUUAUUGCACAAUACAAGACCUGUUGGUCGUCAGGUACUUUGAUGAUAAUACGUCUAUCACCGCUACAAUUUACUGAGUAAUUCUGCUUUCUAAUACUUGAAAUUGCUGUGUUUCAGGACAGCCUGCAGCUGUUGAUCACUGUCAUGCUCUUGUCAGAUCUUUCUGUCACCCUCCUUAUGUUGCUUCAGUUCUAUUGGAUCUCUAUUGGGGCUUUCCUUGCUGUGUUGCUCAUUCUUCCCCUAUCACUACUUUGUCCCUUUCCAGCUGGAUUAAAUGCCUUAUUCAGUAAAGAACCUAGAAGAGUUUCACUUGCACGUAUUUAUGCAUUGUGGAAUGCUACAUCUCUGUCAAAUAUUGUAAGUUAUACCAAGUACCUGGUACUUUUAACAAGAGCUUGACCAAUUGCCUUCCUUUUUUUCUUUUUUCCUAUCAGUGCCAGUGAGGAGCAACUUAAUAAAUUUGGCUUACAUUUUUAUUAUAACAUAGGAACCUUUAUAAAGAAGAGCCCUUUUCAGGGGCUAUUUUGUGAUUUCCUAAUUUCUGGAUACCUGUGCUAAUGGUCCAUUGGUUCUUAUUUUGGGUUUUAUUUAGUUGGGCUUAGUAAUAAAAGCCCAAGGUGUCCAACUUUUAUUAGGGUCUUAAGAAAUCUAAGUUCUACUAUGAAUAGGAAUUAGUCUUCUAUUGAAAGAGAUGUAAUGCUUUCUAUAGAAGAAGAGAGUAGCCUGUAUCACAAACUAUAUGUGGCAUGACAUGCGUUUCAAGGUGGGAAAAUGUCAGAAUAGCAAUUGUGGAGUAAGUUUGGCUCCAAACAUGUUUGGAGCAUUAGGCUUCAACCUCCAAAGGGAGAUGACAUAUCCUUGCUUGGUUGGAUUAAGUGUGGUUAAGUGAGUUAUGUGCAUUGCACAUGAAAAUGACAUGUCAUCUGGGGGUUGACGUUUAAGGCUCUAAACAUGUUUGGAGCCAAACUUAGUCCACAAUUGCUAUUCUGACAUUUUUCAACCUUGAAACACAUCUCAUGCCACGUAUUUAUGUAUAGUUUGUGAUACAGGCUACUCAUGCUUCUUACUGUUGUGGCAUAAUUUUAGGUGAUUGGUUAUAUAAUUUUCUGUAGUUGAGAAGUUUGCAUACCAACAUCUUUUUUUUGGUUCGUUUUUGAAUUUCCAUUAUUUUGCUUACAUCUCAGUUUUUCCCUUGAUCUAUUAACAUGUAUAAUUUAAAGAUAGAAUUGCAGCAAAAAGUACAUUUGUAUAUUAACAUAAUUUUAAUUUUUGAAGUUUAGUUCAUGAAAAUCUUUCAUAUGAAACCUAUAAGCUGGUUUGCACAAUAGAACUGUGCUUUGCAGAGUGCAGACUUGUCAAUCUUCUGCCACGUUUACUUAUUUUUCAUUCUUGAACAAUUUUAUAUCAUAGUCAUUGCAAAUGAUUACUGGGAUGUAAAAGAUACAUUUGCUACUUCCCUGCUAUAAAUGAUUACGGGGCUGACAGUGGGCUAUUAUUUGUGCAGUUCUAAACACAGUUGAAAAGGCUCAUAGUGUAGAUAUUUGUAAUCUUCUGGUCAUAUCUAUUAUCUUUGAUAGUGUCAUGUAAUGACUGUCUUCUGCAGGCUGUGGCUUUCCUUUGUGGCAUUUUUCGUUACGGAUUUUCCUCUCUCCAGCCACCUGACAAGUCAAGUGCAUCCACAACUAGAAGGUGAGCCUUUUAAUUUCAUAUUACAAAACCAUAUUUAGCAAAUAACUCAAAUUUUUUGCAAAAUCACAAUUGGGAUCUAGGACAACAUCCCAGGUCAGGAGUAGAUUUUCUUGUUCUCAUAUCUUUCCACAAUUGACCUGUGUUUAGCAACACAGUUUGCAAACUGAUUUCCUGCUCUGUAGGUAUAAUGAAUAAGAACUUGCAUAACUGCUUUUUUCAAGGCUGAACUCUUACCCUAUGCUCUAUAGGAUAUUUAAGUGACCUAGUCAAUAAUCACAUAAAUCACUAUCUUGGAUGAAAAUGUGUUGUUGGUCUCACAUGUAUAAAAAUCAGCCUAUAUGUACUUCUGCCUUAAAUACCAAAGUUUCUUUCUCUUUCAAAAAUGAUUGGGCUAUAUUUUGGUGUUUAGGCUUUCUUCUUUCUUGGCGUCUUUUUUAUUGUUUUUAAGAAAUUUUUUCUUCCUUUGGUCAAAUGUUUUAAAAGCUUUUAAUUGUAUUUGCUGACAGGGAGGAUGAUAAAUGGUGGCUUUUGCCAACCAUCCUUCUGUUAUUCAAGUCAAUACAAGCUCGUUUCGUCAACUGGCACAUUGCAAAUCUUGAAAUUGAAGAUUUUUCCCUCUUCUGUCCAGAUCCAGAUGCUUUUUGGGCUCACGAGCCAAGCUGA
rnacentral:sRNA from 1 species